rnacentral:rRNA from 1 species
AGCUUGCAUUUUGAAGCCGAGUAGGCAAACGGGUGAGUAACGCGUAGACAACCUGACCGCAAAGAUGGGGACAACAGUCCGAAAGGACUGCUAAUACCGAAUGUUGUCAGAUUCCCGCAUGGGAGACUGAUUAAAGAUGGCCUCUACUUGUAAGCUAUCGCUUUGCGAUGGGUCUGCGUCUGAUUAGCUAGUUGGUGGGGUAACGGCCUACCAAGGCGACGAUCAGUAGCCGGUCUGAGAGGAUGAACGGCCACAUUGGAACUGAGACACGGUCCAGACUCCUACGGGAGGCAGCAGUGGGGAAUCUUCCGCAAUGGGCGAAAGCCUGACGGAGCAACGCCGCGUGAGUGAAGAAGGGUUUCGGCUCGUAAAGCUCUGUUGACGGGGACGAAUGUGCGAAAUGCGAAUAGUUUUUUGCAAUGACGGUACCCGUCGAGGAAGCCACGGCUAACUACGUGCC